rnacentral:misc_RNA from 1 species
GAUGAAGAGCGCAGCGAAAUGCGAUAAGUAAUGUGAAUUGCAGAAUUCCGUGAAUCAUCGAAUCUUUGAACGCACAUUGCGCCCCCUGGUAUUCCGGGGGGCAUGCCUGUCCGAGCGUCAUUGCAACCUUCAAGCGCGGCUUGUGUGUUGGGUCUCGUCCCCCGUGGACGGGCCCGAAAGGCAGUGGCGGCGUCCCGACAUGGUGCCCGAGCGUAUGGGAAUCCUCUUCCGCUCGAAUCGGCCCAUGCGGCGCUGGUCGUAACCAAAUUUUUUACCGGUUGACCUCGGAUCAGGUAGGGAUACCCGCUGAACUUAAGCAUAUCAAUAAGCGGAGGA